rnacentral:rRNA from 1 species
CAACUCGCCUGCAUGAAGUCGGAAUUGCUAGUAAUCGCGGAUCAGCAUGCCGCGGUGAAUACGUUCCCGGGCCUUGUACACACCGCCCGUCACACCAUGGGAGUCGGUAACACCCGAAGCCGAUAGUCUAACGAAAGAGGACGUCGUCGAAGGUGGGAUUGAUGACUGGGGUGAAGUCGUAACAAGGUAGC